rnacentral:misc_RNA from 1 species
UUUCCGUAGGUGAACCUGCGGAAGGAUCAUUAAUGAGUUGUCAUGGAGUUCGAUGCUGGCACACAAUUUUUGAAUGCAUGUGCUUGCCCUAACAAUCAUCUUCCAAACACCUGUGCACAUUUUUGAGAGCGUCUUGAGUUGGUUGCCGCCCUUGGGUGAUUUUCUCACAUUCCCUUAAAUCAUUAUACGCUCUUAUCAAUGUUGAACGUGCUCUGUGCCGCAUUGCUAUUAAUAUAAUACAACUUUCAACAACGGAUCUCUUGGCUCUC